rnacentral:rRNA from 1 species
AGUGAACGCUGGCGGUAGGCCUAACACAUGCAAGUCGAACGGCAGCACAGUAAGAGCUUGCUCUUACGGGUGGCGAGUGGCGGACGGGUGAGGAAUACAUCGGAAUCUACUUUUUCGUGGGGGAUAACGUAGGGAAACUUAAGCUAAGACCGCAUACGACCUACGGGUGAAAGCAUGGGAUCUUCGGACCUGGCGCGGUUGAAUGAGCCGCUGUCGGAUUAGCUAGUUGGCGGGGUAAAGGCCCACCAAGGCGACGAUCCGUAGCUGGUCUGAGAGGAUGGUCGGCCACCUGAGAACUGGGCCACGGUCAAGACGACUGAGAGAGGCAGCAGUGGGGAAUAUGGGACAGUGGGCGCAAGCAUGGUCCAGCGAUCGCGAGUGGGUGAAGAAGACGUUGGGGUCGUAAAGACGUUUUGUUGGGUAAGAAAAGCAGCAGGUUGAUACGCCGCUGUUCUGACGGUACCGAAAGAAUAAGCACCGGCUAACUUCGCG